GGAGAGGUGCCGGAGCUUGGUUUAACGGAGCGCACUUGAAAUGCGCCGUCCCUGAGAAGGGACCGUGGGUUCGAAUCCCACCCUCUCCC
rnacentral:tRNA from 1 species